CCAUGGAUGACGGCGGCUGUGCCUGGAUGGCAUCGCAUGCGCCACCAGUUGCUCCACCGGCGGCUGUGGUGGCUGAGUCUGCUGCUGCUGAAGACUUCUAACCACCUCCGUAAGAACGUUCAUUUGCUACAUGAUUGCAGCAAUCUGGGCGUCCGUGGUGACCACGAGUCGCAGAGAAUUGGGCUCUGCUACCGAAGGCAGGA
rnacentral:lncRNA from 1 species